AUUGAACGCUGGCGGCAGGCCUAACACAUGCAAGUCGAGCGGAUGAAGGGAGCUUGCUCCUGGAUUCAGCGGCGGACGGGUGAGUAAUGCCUAGGAAUCUGCCUGGUAGUGGGGGAUAACGUCCGGAAACGGGCGCUAAUACCGCAUACGUCCUGAGGGAGAAAGUGGGGGAUCUUCGGACCUCACGCUAUCAGAUGAGCCUAGGUCGGAUUAGCUAGUUGGUGGGGUAAAGGCCUACCAAGGCGACGAUCCGUAACUGGUCUGAGAGGAUGAUCAGUCACACUGGAACUGAGACACGGUCCAGACUCCUACGGGAGGCAGCAGUGGGGAAUAUUGGACAAUGGGCGAAAGCCUGUUCCAGCCACGCCGCGUGUGUGAAGAAGGUCUUCGGAUUGUAAAGCACUUUAAGUUGGGAGGAAGGGCAGUAAGUUAAUACCUUGCUGUUUUGACGUUACCAACAGAAUAAGCACCGGCUAACUUCGUG
rnacentral:rRNA from 1 species